GGGAUCUUCCCGAUGCAGUGGACGGAUGCAGGGAUUGAACUCGCCUCUCCUGCAUUGCAGGCGUUUUCUCUACCACUGAGCCGUCAGGGAAGCCCCUAGAUGACGUUUCGAUGAAACUUUGAAUUUUGGGCUUUAGAGCUGUUAAAAAUGACUCCCUCGUCCCCGUACUGGGGAAACAGACAAGCCAUGGCACGUCCAUGCGAAGGACUAGUUCUCAGCAAUGAAAAGGAAGGAACCACUGACCCAGGCAACAGCAUGGAUGAAGCCAACCUGCUUUAAGCUGAGUGAAGAAAGCCAAACUCAAAAGACUGUGCUGGGGAAAGAGGAAGAGAGGCUGGAAGGGGUGGCCGAGAAUAAUAGUGUUAGAGGGACCAUUUGCUCUUCAUAGGAAACAACUUUGUCUUAGAUACAGUUUAAGCAGAAAAGAAGUAAAUCUCUGUUUGGCAUUCCAAGCACAGUUUCUUUUCAUCUAAGAAUACACUUGACUUUAGGCAAUCAAUUCUUUUUAGACAGUAAAAUAAAUAAAUAAAU